UUUGCCGGCAGCUAGCUCUCUGCAUCUCUCACAUGGUCACCCACUGACGCUAAGCAGGGCUGCGCCCGGUCAGUACCUGGAUGGGAGACCACAUGGGAAAAGCUAGGCUGCUGCCAAAA
ensembl:rRNA 5S_rRNA 5S ribosomal RNA